GUCCACAAGGGUGAGUACCGGCUCUUCCCGGGUAAAGUCUUGGUCAAAAUUAUUAACGUCUCUUUUGGUUUUCUGUGGGAAGAAAAGAGAAAGUGCUGAGUCGAGGCUGCCCUCCCUCCUGAGGGCCCCCCACGGGGAGUGGGCGCUGCACUGACCAGCCUGUCACCAAAGCAGGCCUCUAGCUACCAACAGACAGCAGACACAGGGCUGUUCCGAUGAGGUAAUGAUGGAUGGCCCCAGGACCGGGAGGUGACAAAGGAGGACAGGAAGAAUGAGUCAAGACCAAGAGCUUCUUAAAGGCAGAGACCUUGUCUUAUUCAACCUUGGGUUCCCAGCAGUUCCCCAGCAAUAAGUGUCUACUGAAUGAAGUAAGUAAACUCACUACUGACUCCCCAGCUCUGAAGGACCCACACCUCUGGGUUCAAGUUCCCAAGUUCUUUGCAGAUGUAAUCAAACGAGAAUGAGGUCAUCAGGGUGGGCCCUGAUCCAAUAUGACUGGUGUCCUUGUAAGACGGGAAAUUGGACACGGAGACAGACACGCACAGAGGGGAGACUGUGUGAAGAGACACAGGGACACGUGUGUGAAGACUGAAGCUGUGCUGCACGAGCCGAUGAAUGUCUGCGGCUACCAGAAGCUGAAAGAGGCACGGGAAGAUUCUUCUGCAGGUUUCAGAGGGAGCAAGGCCCUGCCAACACCUUGAUUUUAGAUUUCUAGCCUCAAACCGUGAGAUAACACCUUGUUAUCUUCUUGUCAUUUCUGUUGUUCUAAGCCACCCCCAGGUUUUGGUACUUCGUUACAGUAGCCCUGGGCAACUAAUACAAACUCCAAUCUUAUUUUUCUGAAAUUGAUAAAAAUUUUUCUUUAAAAAGUAGAUAAAGUAGAGAGUUGAAAUCUCACUGUAUUGCCCUGGUUGGUCUUGAACUCCUGGGUUCAAGCGGUCCACCCACUUCGACCUUCCAAACUGCUGGGAUCACAGGGGUGAGCCACCAUACCCAGCCUGAAAUUGGUUUUUAAAAUCCAAACAUCAUCCUUUACACUUAACCUUGAUUUCUUAUUUUGGAGCAUAUUUCUAGCCUGUCAAGAGCACCAUGAUUCUGCAACGUACCUCUCUGAAUUUCAGUGUAUUUACCUAGGAAGUAGAGAUAACAAACACACCUAGCUUUCUGAGGGUUAUAGGUAAACUCUAAAAUACAAUGCAAAUGCUAUUCUAAUUCUAUCAUCCAUCUUAUCUACUCUAUCUUCCAGCUCUAUGUCAACCCAAACUUUGAUUGGCAUGCCUCCAAUCUCUCUAUGGGGACACUUAUACAAAUAUUAUUUAGGACAGGAUAAGGCUCAGAGCUCUUUGACCUGGCCCCUGAAACAGCCCUCUCACAAAGUCGACAUCGAGUUCCACCAGCAUUCUUUGGGGUGCGGUUGUUAAAUUCAUUGAGAAGCAACCAGCCAUGGUCACUGUUUCAUUUUGCUCAGUUGCUUUGCUGGAAUAAAGAUAUAAA